AUGGGCCGGUGGGGGAUGAAGCUCGGCGACAUGGCCGAGUUCCAGUGCUUCGUCUGCAAGGACGCCGGCGACGUCCGCGUCUGCGACGCCAGGAACUGCCUCAAGAGCUACCACCCGGGCUGCGUGGGGAAGGAGGACGACUUCAUUGAUUCCAGCGAGCAACACGUCUGUGAUUGGCAUAAAUGUUCUAAUUGUGGAAGUGAUGCACUCUAUUUAUGCUUGUGCUGUCCAAGUUCCUCUGCUUGUGGAGACUGCUUUGGAAAAGUUGAUUUUGUCCCAGUGAAGCAGAGCAACGAACUCAACAUGGGAUUCUGCCGCAGCUGUUUUAAUAUGGCAAUAGUGACUGAGAAAGAUGAUGCUGAAGAGGCAAAGGUUGUUUUCGAAGGUACCCCGGAGCACUAUCAAAUAUUGUUUAAAGAUUACUGGACAAUACUUAAUGACAAGGAGUGUUUUACAUUGCUCGACUUGCAACUAGCAAGUAUUCGUCAUAAAAGAAGCCUACAGUGUAAAGAAGGGAAGGAUUCAGAUGAGUAUCACAAGACAGAUGGAAAGCCAUUGGGUGACAAUGAUGGUGCUGGGCCAUCAUCUCUUCUUGACACAAUGGACAAACCAAAUGAAGUGCAAGCAACUUUGAAGAGAAAGAAACUGGAGAAGAGAACAUAUGUUGGGUGGGGUUCAAAAGAGCUAACAGAAUUCCUAUCAUGUAUUGGUAAGAAUGCAAGCACGCCUCUUGACCAUUUCAAAGUUGCUGAAGUUGUCAGGGACUAUGUUCGACAGAACAAUCUUCUAGAUGGUAAGAAGAAGAAAUCUGUCACGUGUGAUGAGAACCUGCAUUCUUUAUUUAACAAAAGGAAAUUUAAGUACAACAUGAUCCAUAGCUUGGUGGAAACGCAUCUUUCCGCAAAUGCGAUUUCAGAGGAUGAAAGUGAUGGAUCUGUGGAUGAUAAUGGUUACACGGUGAAAAAGAAGCCUCGGAAUAGUUUGGAGCCAAAAAUUCCUAAGAGUGUUUCAGGAAUAGACCCAAUAAUUCCUAAGAGUGUUUCAGGAAUAAACAAGAAAUGUCUUGCCGCUCUCAAUCCGAAUAACCUGAAUCUGAUUUAUCUGAGAAGAACUUUAGUUGUAAAACUUCUGACUGAGCUAGACACAUUUGAACAGAAAGUUAUUGGCUGUUUGGUCAGAGUGAAGAAUGAUCUCAAGAGUUAUACUUAUAUGAUGACUAAGAAAUAUUACCAGAUUGGACUAGUUACAGGCAUUAAGAAAUCUUCAGAAGAAUACAAGAUUAAGGAUACAUGUACAGAUGUUCUUUUAUGUGUUUCCGGCAUGUGGGAUGAUGUCAAGAUCUCAAUGCUAUCAGAAGAGGACUUUGAGGAGGAUGAGUGCAAUGAUCUUCUUCUGUUGGCCAAGAAAGAGCUCUUCAAAAGACCUACUGUUGCUGAGUUAGAGGAAAAAGAGGCAACUGUACAUGCAGACAUUGUAAAUCAUUGGUUUGAUAAGGAGCUUCGAAAAUUGGAAAUGGAGUUGGAACGAGCGCGUGAGAAGGGGUGGCGCCAGGAUAUCCAUGACCUAAGUUGUAAAAAAGUGCUUCUAAGCACACCAGACGAAAGACAGCGCCGUCUUGAGGCGAUCCCAGAAGUUAUUCCAGAUGCUGAAGAGGAGAGUAAAGAAAUUGGGAUUGAAUCAGCAGCGAGCAUUCCUUUUCAAGGGAAUCGAGACGAAAGACAGCGACGUCUUGAGGCGAUCCCCGAAGUUAUUCCAGAUGCAGAAGAAAAGUAUGAAGAAACUGAGAUUGAUUCAGCAGCAAGGAACCCUUUUCAAGGGAAUCGAGACCGACCUGGCGCAGCGGUGAAGUACUCCCCACUUGUGUCAAGAGGUCCCGGGUUCGACGCAGCCCUUCUGCAUUGCACUGUGCAGGGUGUGACACAGACAGUAGCUGACCCUUUGGAAGUUGGUAUAGAUGAAUCGCUAGAAGGUGCAUCUCUGCGAGAUGACGCUGCUUGUGAAAUUGCUUUUGAAGCUGCCGGCAAAGCCCUCCCUAAUGGUAGCACUCCUGGUCCUGGAUUGCACACUCCAUUGAACACAGUUACUGGAGUCAUUGAUAUCGACAACGAGGAGGAUGGAAAUGGUCCUAGUCAUCACAAUGGUGGUGACGAACAAGACAUCAUCGAUCUGGUCAGUGAUGACGAUGAGGAUGUUCACAUGGAGCAGUGUGAGCCAGAACGGGCAAGAUGUGAUGGACCAGAAACCGUCAAUGGGAUCGCUGCGCAUGCACAUAAUGGACCUGAAGCCGUCAAUGGGGUCACCAUACCUACAGUCCGUGCUUCCGAUGAUCGGGAUGGAAAUACGGGGCCUGUAUGCAGUACGUCACAAGCCAUGGCGCGUGAUCCCGUAACCGUGAAUGGGACAAGCAAGUCAGAUCAAGGGUGGCUGUACAGGGAUCUUCAGGGGCGAGAGCAUGGGCCAUACCCAAUGGCUCAAAUGCGGGAGUGGCAGCAAAGUGGGUACUUCCCUGAGGGCUUCCGCGUGUGGAGAGCAGGGAAAUCAAGGCGGGGGAGAGGCUCCAUCUUGCUGAUAGAUGCCAUGCGGCUGCACUAG
rnacentral:rRNA from 1 species